rnacentral:tRNA from 1 species
UUAUGAUUUAGUAUAAGAUGUACAAAAAUUUUUGAAAUUUUUAGCAGUAGUUUAAUUCUAUUAAUCAUAAAAUU